rnacentral:rRNA from 1 species
UACGGAGGGUGCAAGCGUUAUCCGGAUUCACUGGGUUUAAAGGGAGCGUAGGUGGGCUGGUAAGUCAGUGGGGAAAUCUCCGGGCUUAACUCGGAAACUGCCGUUGAUACUAUCAGUCUUGAAUAUUGUGGAGGUAAGCGGAAUAUGUCAUGUAGCGGUGAAAUGCUUAGAUAUGACAUAGAACACCGAUAGCGAAGGCAGCUUGCUACACAAUUAUUGACACUGAGGCUCGAAAGCGUGGGGAUCAAACAGG